UAGAGGAUAGGUUAAAUUAGACCGGAGGGCUCAUGACCCUAAAGUGGUAAAUCCUCCUCUAA
rnacentral:tRNA from 1 species